CGGAAGAGAUAAGUGCUGAAAGCAUCUAAGCACGAAACUUGCCCCGAGAUGAGUUCUCCCUGAGACUUAAAGUCUCCUGAAGGAACGUUGAAGACGACGACGUUGAUAGGCCGGGUGUGUAAGCGCAGCGAUGCGUUGAGCUAACCGGUACUAAUGAACCGUGAGGCUUAACCUUACAACGCCGAAG
rnacentral:rRNA from 1 species